UACAGAGGUCUCGAGCGUUAGGCGGAAUCACUGGGCUUAAAGCGUGUGUAGGCGGAUUGGUAAGUACUUUGUGAAAUCCCACGGCUUAACCGUGGAACUGCUUGGUAUACUGCCAGUCUUGAGCCAGCUAGGGGCUACGGAACAAAUGGUGGAGCGGUGAAAUGCGUAGAUAUCAUUGGAACGCCAAUGGUGAAAACAGGUAGCUGGGGCUGUGCUGACGCUGAGACACGAAAGCCAGGGGAGGCAAAACGGG
rnacentral:rRNA from 1 species